AUUGAACGCUGGCGGCAGGCUUAACACAUGCAAGUCGAGCGAGCGGCGGACGGGUGAGUAAUGUCUGUGACAAUGCCUGAUGGUGGGGGAUAAAUACUGGAAACGGUAGCUAAUACUGCAUACCAUCAGAUGUGCCGAGAUGGGUUUCGCUAGUAGGUGGGGGAAGGACUCACCUAGGCGACGAUCCCUAGCUGGUCUGAGUGGAUGACCAGCCACACAGGAACUGAGACAGGGUCCAGACUACCACGUAAGGCAGGAGUGGGUGAUAUUGAACAGUGAGUGGAAGCCAGACGCAGCCAGGCCGGGAGUGUGAAGGAGGCAUGCGGGUUGGAAAGCAAUUUCAGUGAGUAGGCGUUACUCGCAGAUGAAGCACCGGCUAACUCCGUGCCACCAGCGCGGUAAUUC
rnacentral:rRNA from 1 species